GUUAUAAGCCUCUUCUUGAAAGUAAAAACCUUUGGGAAGUCACAGUAGUCCUAAGAAAUUAGGGGCUACUAUGCAAAGGGAAGUCAGAAAGCAAGUCGAGAAAAGGGUGUUUUCUGCAAUUGUAUUUGGUGCAGUGGCUCUAGGACAUGCCAGUUCAUUUGCUCCAGACUAUGCUAAAGCUAAGCUGUCUGCAGCCCACUUAUUCAUGCUGUUUGAAAGACAACCUCUGAUUGACAGCUACAGUGAAGAGGGGCUGAAGCCUG
rnacentral:lncRNA from 1 species